AACGAACGCUGGCGGCAUGCCUAACACAUGCAAGUCGAACGAGACCUUCGGGUCUAGUGGCGCACGGGUGCGUAACGCGUGGGAACCUGCCCUUAGGUUCGGAAUAACUCCCCGAAAGGGGUGCUAAUACCGGAUAAUGUCUUCGGACCAAAGAUUUAUCGCCUUUGGAUGGGCCCGCGUUGGAUUAGCUAGUUGGUAGGGUAAAAGCCUACCAAGGCGACGAUCCAUAGCUGGUCUGAGAGGAUGAUCAGCCACACUGGGACUGAGACACGGCCCAGACUCCUACGGGAGGCAGCAGUGGGGAAUAUUGCACAAUGGGCGAAAGCCUGAUCCAGCAAUGCCGCGUGAGUGAUGAAGGCCUUAGGGUUGUAAAGCUCUUUUACCCGGGAUGAUAAUGACGGUACCGGGAGAAUAAGCUCCGGCUAACUCCGUG
rnacentral:rRNA from 1 species